rnacentral:rRNA from 1 species
GUGUCAGCAGCCGCGGUAAUACGGAGGGGGCUAGCGUUGUUCGGAAUUACUGGGCGUAAAGCGCACGUAGGCGGCUUUGUAAGUUAGAGGUGAAAGCCCAGGGCUUAACCCUGGAAUUGCCUUUAAGACUGCAUCGCUAGAAUCGUGGAGAGGUGAGUGGAAUUCCGAGUGUAGAGGUGAAAUUCGUAGAUAUUCGGAAGAACACCAGUGGCGAAGGCGACUCACUGGACACGUAUUGACGCUGAGGUGCGAAAGCGUGGGGAGCAAACAGGAUUAGAUACCCUCGUAGUCC